rnacentral:rRNA from 1 species
UACGUAGGGUGCAAGCGUUGUUCGGAAUCACUGGGCGUAAAGGGCGUGUAGGCGGUCAGGUAAGUGAGAUGUGAAAUGCCCCGGCUCACCCGGGGACCGGCAUCUCAUACUGCUUGGCUUGAGUACGGGAGAGGAUGUGGGAAUUCCUGGUGUAGCGGUGAAAUGCGUAGAUAUCAGGAGGAACACCGGUGGCGAAGGCGCACAUCUGGCCCGAUACUGACGCUGAGGCGCGAAAGCCAGGGGAGCAAACGGG